AUGGCUAUGUUUACCUGUUAGUCUUCCUGUAUAUGUGUGUGCUGACAAGUGGGCAAUGAAGUCUUGCAGUGACAUGUGAUCAUGUCACCUGAACUGGAAUUCAUCUUUAACCUGGUGCUUUUCCAGUGAGGGGGGGGUGGAAACCCAGAGGGACAAAGGGUUCCCACCUUAAGCAAAAGGUAUAUAAAGGGGUGGAAGAGAACAAGGGGAGGGAGGAGCUAUCAUGAAGAAUCCCCUAGCUAUCACCUGUGCUGCAACAAGAGCUGUACCAGGGAAAAGAAUUGUGCCCAGGCCUGGAAGGUGUCCAGUCUGAGAAAAAACUUACUGAAGCAUCUCUGAGGAGCAGGCUUGCCAUAAGGAAGCACUGCACCAUUCUAGUUUCUUUGAGGUCUCAAUGUACAAGGAAGUAACUGUUAAUAAUCAACACUCGCUGCAAGAUCGAGAGAGAGCUGUGCUGCUGAAAAGCAGGUGUGCUUCAUAUUGUGUGUAACCCUCUGGGUACUGAUGAAACAAAUAGAAGUUUCACAGCCAUGGAUAAUACAAGGACUCAAGACACUAUUCCUCAGAACCUGUAGGAUAUUUUCACUGAAGACCAUAUACAGAGGAAGUGGAACAUAUGAAUCAAAGUGGUUUCUGUUGAAAGCAGAUAAGCUCCCUCAGUACCAGAUUCAUACCUCAUGUAAGCGGCUGCAACUCCACCAAAGGCAAAGAGAUUUCACCACUGACACCAGCUUCAUCGAUACGCGGCGCCAUUCCAGGCUCUCCCCUUGGACCAGACCGUGCAUCCGUUCCGGAUCGGUGACCAGGUCCUUGUCAAGAAGUGGAAACGCGACCCCCUUACGCCAAGGUGGGACGGUCCACACACCGUUUCGCUCAUCAGCCAGGCCGCAGUUAAAAUUCUCGGGAGCGACAAAUGGACACAUCGCACCCGGAUAAAGCGGUUUCUGAAUCCUGACCAGGGAACCAAUCCCACGGAAGAGGACACCGGCCCUCUGCCCGCCCCGGCCCCGGAAGCCCGGGGUGGCAUGGGCGAAGACACCGUCUGGGAGUAUCAAGGACUCGAUGGGCUAAAAGGACUGUUUAGGAAAAAACCAAUAAUGAACUCAUUAUUGAUAUUUCUGUUCAUAGGUGUCUAUCACGGCUAUGGUUGGGAGAAUAGGUUUAUACAACUGGGAGAAACAAUAGCGAGUUCCUUCAAUCUUAGUAGCUGCUGGGUUUGUGGAGGUCCAGGGGAUUGGAAUGAAUGGCCUUGGGUAGCCCAGCCAGUGCCAGCUAAAUGGUGGAUUAGUAAUUUAAGUAUAGUCCACAAAGGAACAGAAGUUUGGGAUGAGGAUAGUAGCCCUUGGUGACUCUAUUCCUCUGAGAUGGGGAUCCUUUGUCUAAACCGAACAAAACAAGAAGGGGUAUAUGUGGGCAAAAGCCGAUGUGACUGGACCCUAUCUCUAGGAUUUGACUGCUAUGAUCACCCUAGUUGCCAUACGUAUGACUGUUCUAAAUAUCAAGGACGAUGGAACCAUACCCACGUAAAACUCACUAAUCAUAGCUGGGUACAAUGUUCCUACCAACAGCAUACUGGCGAAGGCUGUAAGGCAGUUGGACAAGAUGGGUUCUUUGAUGCCCUCUUUCUAAGUUGCCAGCGAGAUAAUACCGACAGUAAGGAUCACGUGGUACGCUGGUAUCAGUGGGCAUGGCAACAUUCUAAUGGAACUCGGGUAACCCAUUUUAAUCAUUUUUGGUCUACUACCAAUAGCCCUAAAUUUGGUUGUAACUGCGCUUGGAAGGAAGGGGCUGGGCCUUGGAAAUGUGACUAUUGUAAUCCUGACGGUACAUCUAUUGUAUUAGGGGGACCCCUGGAGAUGGGUAACUCUUUGUAUUACGAAGAACCGGGCCCCGAGGACUACCCCGAAGCCUGGGAUGGCCCCUUUGCGAAUGGACAAUGGGCCCUAAAAGGCCAUUACUGAAUAUGUGGGCAACAUGCUUAUCGGAGAUUGCCUCCAAAUUGGUCGGGAAUAUGUUAUGUUGGGUACAUUAGGCCCUUGUUCUUUCUACUACCCCAAAUUCAGGGAAAUAAGUUAGGAAUUAAGGUAUAUGACGACUUGAUUAGGGAAAGGCGGUCCGUUGAUUCCGCAUUAACAGCUGGAAGCUCCCAAAAGUGGGGAGCUCAAGAGUGGCCCCCUGAAAGAAUUAUACAAAAUAUGGUCCAGCCACAUGGAAUCCUAAUGAGUGGAUCUCAGGGGCAAGGGAGCCCAUUUACAACUUGAAUCGGAUAAUUAGGCUGCAAGCCAUCUUAGAAAUAAUAACUAAUCAGACGGCUGCAGCUCUUGAUCUUUUGGCCGAUCAGUCCACUCAGAUGAGGAAUGUGCUCUACCAGCACCAUCUAGUUCUUGAUUAUUUGCUGGCAGAGGAAGGGGGAAUCUGUGCAAAAUUAAACGAAUCUAAUUGCUGUUUACAAAUAGAUGAUAAUGGAAAGGCGGUAAAACAGCUAACAAAAGAAAUGAGGAAGCUAGCCCAUGUCCCGGUCCAAGCAUGGGGUGGGUGGAAUACGGACUGGUUCCCGUCCUGGUUACCGCAACUGGGAUGGCUACGAGAAGGCCUUCUUCUCUUUAUACUCUUUACUACAACCCUAUUAACCCUAGCUUGCUUUGCUCCCUGUGUAGUUGCAUUAGUCCGACGAAUGGCUAAUCAAAUUGUACGCCAACGCAUGAUGGCACUAUAUCAAUCGGUUAAAGUUGAGGAUUGGGGGCCAUAGGGCUCUCAAAAUGCUUUUAAGGGGGGAGAACCUUGUUAGAACAAAGGCCAUAUACUCGCCUAUUAUCCCAGCUGUUCCCCAUGGCCAUAAACUCCCUUUCCCAUAUAUGAACAUAUAGCAAGACAAUCAAUCAAAGAGGCUCAACAAAUGUAUCCUAUUUACGGCCCCAACAGAUGUAUUCUAUAUACCCCUAAAAGGGAAUUUAAAAAUUCCAUAGGUCAGCAGAAUGUAUGCACGUUAAGUCAUUUGUUACUGGGUAUAAAAAGGCUUGCUCUACGCUUGUAAGGUGUGCUCCUCCCUCUGGCAUGAGUCGAGGGGGACACCCGCUCAGCUGACUGAUCAAUAAAGAACUUGAAGCCGUC